rnacentral:rRNA from 1 species
CACGUAGGGCGCAAGCGUUGUCCGGAAUUAUUGGGCGUAAAGAGCUCGUAGGCGGUCUGUUGCGUCCGCUGUGAAAACUCGAGGCUUAACCCCGAGCCUGCAGUGGAUACGGGCAGACUAGAGGUAGGUAGGGGAGAAUGGAAUUCCCGGUGUAGCGGUGAAAUGCGUAGAUAUCAGGAGGAAUACCUAUGGCGAAAGCAGGUAUCUGGGCCUUACCUGACGCUGAGGAGCGAAAGCGUGGGGAGCGAACAGG